AGCCCAGGUGCAGGGACUUCCAUUGCUCACUGCUCGGGCUAGGCUGUUACUCCUAAAUUAAAUGCAGUGUUUUCCUGUGAUGUUGUUGAAUAUUUCCUCGAAUUCAUGUACUGCCAUGUUUUACCAGGUCCAACAGGAUGUCAGCCCUUAUCAGUAUUUUACAACCUCCAGGUAAUACCCACAUGUGAGUCCCAGUUCUUCCCAGGCAGGUGGAAAUGGCUUGUUCCAUGGAAAAUUGUCUCUCUUAGGUUUCAGCCUCUCAGGGGAGAAGCCACAACAUAAAUAUGGAUUUUCAUGCAGAAGGGUGAGAAUGGAACAAGCAAACAAACAAAAAAGGAUGCAAGAACAGAAUGAAGAGGAAAUAAGACAGCAAAGAAACUUCCCAUAUAUUAGUGCAAGAAUGUCUCAGAGUUAGAGAGACUGAGGCAGCCUUUAGGGGGGUGACUGUGGGGUCAUGAUGAAGAGCAGAUUCCAGCAGCUGAGUGGGAGUUUAAUUGAUAACUCUGAAGUCAUCUCCCUGAAGGCUGGUGAGAAGCAUUCAUCUUUAUUCACUCUGUCAGCUGGGCCUUCUUGUUACAACAAUGUAAGAAUAGAAAUAAAAUUAAUUCAAGAAAAAAGGAAAAAAUAUUCAGUCAAACAAAGCAUAACCUAAAAUAUAAAUGAGGAUUCUAAUUAAGAAAAAUAAAGUUUAUGUUCAGAAUGUAUGAGAUGCUGCCAAAUUUUUCUCUGAACCAGAUUCCUCAGGGCUUUUGCUGGUUUCUGACAGAGCUGAUCAAAACCACAUGCUUCCAUUUUCAAGGUAAGAUAGUGGAAAGUGUUGCAUGCUGUAUGAACAACCAAGUCUGGGGAGCCCCAUGUCCGUGAGUAAUCCAAGAAUGAAACAGGAGACCAACCUACUUGUUAUUGCAUUGGAACUUUCCCCUUUGGGGGUGGAUGCCAGAGGUACCAGUAAAGCAGUUCUACCUCAGUGACUCGAGGGAGCCAGGAGAAAAACUGGAAUCCAGCAUGUUAGAAACAGUAUGCUAACGUUCCCACAGGAAUAACCAGUGCAGGACAUAACUGCAAAUGACAUUUGAAAUGCCACGGUCUGUCUUCAGAAGAGAGAAAUGAAGAGCUAAAAAUCCCCAGGACCUCCUGAGCAGGAUGCAAUGUCUGAUGCCCUAAAUUCAUGCUGACAUGCAGUGAAACUCUUCUGUUUUAACAUAUUUGGGCAUGUUGUCCUAAAGGCACAGCCCAAGCCCCAGAGAACAAACCAUGGUUGUGGCAAUUGCUUUUUUUGGUGACUCUCAUCUUUUUUUUCUUUUUAAAAUUUCUGUCACAUACUAGAGGGAAAAACCCCUCCUGUCACAAUGCAAGACAUUUUUUUUUUUACUGGAAACAUUUCCUAGGAGCCUAAAUUUCUGCCAGCACUCAGAAAAAUCUUAGAUUAGAUGUGCCAAUACUGAACAAUUCUACGUAGUCCCAACUGCUUAACAAG